UCUGCGGAGGAAGAGCAGCGGAAGUUUCCGGUUCCGUGUGUCUUUGAGAAAACAGAACAGAGCAGAAGCUGGACGUUAAUUAGCUGGAUUUAUCAAAACAUGCWACUAAAGUCCAGGUCUUCUUUACAUCGCUGCAGUUAACAACAAAGAAAAAACAUUUUUUCUCCUCUUACUUGGCUGCACCCGGGUAGCCCGGACUGAAACCAUUCUGCUCCACCUCUGCCUGCGGGUCCACCUGGUCCUGACUUGGUUUGAAGGAGAUUCUGGGGAAUUGUUGAGGAGACUUUUGGAGGGUUUCUGGAUUUUAAGGGUAACGAUGUCAUUCAAGCGCCGGCUGGUGUCCAUGUUGUUGUGUUGUGUUUACUGCGUGGCCUCGCUCUUCUGCCUCCAUCCGAACCGCAACAACAUCUUCUCUGCUGGAACCCGGAAUUUUGGGUCCAUUUUCCAGCAACUUUACCAGCGAGUCAUUCGCAUGUUUAAAACCACGCUCUGAUGUGACGCCACUUCCUGUUUGGACGAUUGACCUUUGACCUUCUCAUUAAAUAUGUCUGAUCCCUCCCAGGAGAACAAAUGAACUGACAACAACAAGGAACAUGGUUUUCACCUCUCUGGCCCAUCAGUGUUCACCUCUGCUCAUCUUUAAACAUAUUUCAAAGCAAAGAGUAAAUAAUAAGUUAAUUUUCCUGCUCAUUAAAAUUAAAGUUGUCGGUGUUCUCUGUGUGAGAAGUCAGCUGAAUGCAUUUCACUGCCAAAAAAAAUUGUUUGAAAUUCUUCACCAUUUUUGAUGAUUGUUGAAACAAGAUUUUAAGUUUUUUUUUUUUAAACUGAUGAUGUACCUUGUGGUGAAAACUAACAUAAAUGUUUAAAGGAGCUGAAAUAUCAUCAGACGAUGGGAGGAAGUGAAAACAGGGAUGUGUAAUGUGAAGAAAAAUGAUGCAGACUGGCUUAACUGAAAAAAUGUAGUAUGGUCACAAAAACAAACAAGAAAAACUCUGUAUUUAAGAGGUGAACAUGAGCAUUUUUCAUUUUAUUUAUUAUCAAUAUUAUCACAUAUUGUUAGGUUGUGAAUUAAGACUAAACUGAAAAUUGCUUAAAACAUCCUGGUUUUGUAUGUAUAUUUAUAAAACGUGUGACCAUAUUUUCUCUAAGCAAAUUUAUUUUAAAUAAAAUGACAUUUGUUCAAUAAAA